UGAGGAACAUGACCUUCGGCGGGGGAUAGCCGGCCCAACGGCCGGGUAAUACCGCGUACGACCACAUGGGGACAUCCCUGAGUGGUGAAAGCAGCAAUGCGCCGAUGGAGUGCCUCGCGGCCUAUCAGCUAGUUGGUGAGGUCAUGGCUCACCAAGGCGACGACGGGUAGCUGGGUCCGAGAGGAUGACCAGCCACAUUGGGACUGAGACACGGCCCAGAUCCCGUAACGGGG
rnacentral:rRNA from 1 species